AAACUGGAUCAAAAAAGCUGUAGAAAGGGCUUUACUAUGGAAAGCCCAAACCGUGGGAUAUGAACGUCCAGGAAACCUAAGUAUCUUCAUCACCUGCCUAGUAGUCCUCAAAAGGAGAAGAACAACGGAAACGCAUUCCUAGUUGCACCGGCCUUUGCCGCCGGCGGUGGCGGAAGAAAAUGUUCUGUCGGCGGCGUCAACUCCGUUGGUGAGGAGGGAACCGGUUUGUCCUACAAAAUCGAUGCUGAAAUCGAAACAAGGCGGGAAGGAAGAAUGUUUGAGGAUGAACUAUGCGGCGGUGGCGGAAGGAGGUUCUAUGCAGAAUCGUUGCAGGAAUGUUGUUUGAAGCUUCUCGAAGACGAGAGAAUCCGUUAGCAGCAGAGAGGGAAUAAUUCUCAAUAAAGCUCUAAAUUGAAACGAAUCGAGUAUGAUGACAACGAGAGCACGAAAAUUCUUCACGUGCAGGUGAUAAUGGAUGAUGAGGAAAUGCUGAAAAAUGAAUUCGAGAGGAAGAUUCGUGUUUUCCAGAAAAAGAGAGGGGAGAAAAAAAGUCCAGCCCAAACCGCUAUACAAUCCUGUAUUUAUAUUUUGAAUUCAUGGAGUUCGUUUGUAGUUGUGCGGCUGUACAUGCUUCGCGUGGCUGCAUUUUUGAAUUGGCUUGUUUGGCAGUUUAUGCUCGCGGCUCACAUCAUUUGGUUUCACGUUGCAGCUGCGUUUGGUUGCAGCUUUGGUGUUGGCUCCCGGUUUGGCUUACUUUCAGAAAUUGUUAGCAUCGGCUUUUGUUGGCUUACUAUGUGCUGUUGCCAUUUAUUUCGUGGCUUGCUCUUUGCAGUGUUUAAGUUUGGAAGCUCAUGUUGAUUUGUUCCAGAUGAUGGCAGCUUGUGGCAUUGCUCGUUGUGGACUACGUUGACACAGCUAGCUUCUUGUGGUUUUCAAUCUUCAUUUUGCUAGCUUCUUGUCGUUUUCAAUCUUCAUUUUGUGUGAAAGCUUGCUCUUUGUUGUGGUGAGCUGCGAAGCCGUUUGAGCCAAGGUUCAUACUCUUUACGUUUUCACUUGGAUGCCGCGUUUUGAUCCUCGCGGAUGGUUAUGUCGUUCAUGCUUUUGGCUUAGCUGCGGUUGCAGCUUUAAGGCUUGAACGAUUCACAUGUACUGCUACUUUGGCUUGUGAUGCCUCUUUUUUGUAUUUAUUUGAAUACUUGGAAUGUGGGUAGUGGAUAGAUAUGAAUGUUUUAAUGAGAUUAAAAAUUGGAUA